AGAUGAGCCUAGGUCGGAUUAGCUAGUUGGUGGGGUAAAGGCUCACCAAGGCGACGAUCCGUAACUGGUCUGAGAGGAUGAUCAGUCACACUGGAACUGAGACACGGUCCAGACUCCUACGGGAGGCAGCAGUGGGGAAUAUUGGACAAUGGGCGAAAGCCUGAUCCAGCCAUGCCGCGUGUGUGAAGAAGGUCUUCGGAUUGUAAAGCACUUUAAGUUGGGAGGAAGGGCAUUAACCUAAUACGUUAGUGUUUUGACGUUACCAACAGAAUAAGCACCGGCUAACUUCGUGCCAGCAGCCGCGGUAAUACGAAGGGUGCAAGCGUUAAUCGGAAUUACUGGGCGUAAAGCGCGCGUAGGUGGUUCAGCAAGUUGGAGGUGAAAUCCCCGGGCUCAACCUGGGAACUGCCUCUAAAACUACUGAGCUAGAGUACGGUAGAGGGUGGUGGAAUUUCCUGUGUAGCGGUGAAAUGCGUAGAUAUAGGAAGGAACACCAGGGCGAAGCGACCACCUGGACUGAUAC
rnacentral:rRNA from 1 species